rnacentral:rRNA from 1 species
UACGUAGGGUGCAAGCGUUAAUCGGAAUUACUGGGCGUAAAGUGUGCGCAGGCGGCAGAGCAAGUCGAGUGUGAAAGCCCCGAGCUUAACUUGGGAAUUGCGCUCGAAACUACUUUGCUGGAGUGUGGCAGAGGAAGGUGGAAUUCCAGGUGUAGCCGUGAAAUGCGUAGAGAUCUGGAGGAACACCGAUGGCGAAGGCAGCCUUCUGGGCCAACACUGACGCUCAUGCACGAAAGCGUGGGGAGCAAACAGG